GUGCUCACUUUGGCAGCGCAUAUAUUAAAGUUGGAAUGAUAUAGAGAAAAUUAGCACAGCUAUUGCAUCAGGAAGGCAUUAGUAUUAGGUAUAAAGUAUCCUAAUAAUUUUU
rfam:Erinaceus europaeus unplaced genomic scaffold scaffold00052, whole genome shotgun sequence